UACGGAGGGGGCUAGCGUUGUUCGGAAUUACUGGGCGUAAAGCGCACGUAGGCGGCUUUGUAAGUUAGAGGUGAAAGCCUGGAGCUCAACUCCAGAACUGCCUUUAAGACUGCAUCGCUUGAAUCCAGGAGAGGUGAGUGGAAUUCCGAGUGUAGAGGUGAAAUUCGUAGAUAUUCGGAAGAACACCAGUGGCGAAGGCGGCUCACUGGCCCGAUACUGACGCUGAGGCACGAAAGCGUGGGGAGCAAACAGG
rnacentral:rRNA from 1 species